ensembl:lncRNA
AACAUCUCUUUUAUCUCUGCCCCAAGACAUGAUAGAGUCAAUGCUUGGCCUUCAAUAUCAGAGAUUAUUAUGCGCCUAUUGCUCUGUAACUAUCUACCCCCAAACGUGGCGGCUUAAAGCAGCACUCAGUGCCUGCCUCCCAAGAGCCGACAAAACACUGAGGGUAAGUCUGUGCCUGGAUCCAGGUCAGUGGGAUGUGCGUGGGUCGUCUCCAGGAGCAGCCGCUGUAGAUGUUAGCAGCCCUGGCACGUCAGUGAUCAAGCGCAAUCAAUAAAAAGGCCAAGCAGUCCGAUUUUGGAAAAUAUAAGCAGUCUUUGUCUGUUCCCAGCGCUCUUGGUUUCACAAGACCGUGGUGUCUGGCUCCUGCUGGCCCCAGUUGGCAGCUAGCCUGCCUCAGCAGGAGGCCCAACUUCUGGAAGGGUGUGGCUUGGGAGGCCUGUCAGGGGAGACGGUGUGGCUCCUCAGGACCUCAGGAAGCCCCUGUAGGGCCAGGCAGCCUCUGAGGAGACCCCUUGAGUCCAUGUGGAGGGCAGGCAGCUGGGCAGAGGGACCUGGGAGGCUGCAGCCGAGCACAGGGUGGCUCUGUUGGCUGGCUGAAGCAGCACCGGACGCGUGUCCCCAAAACGAUGCAGGCGGGGCGGUGGACUUGCCCCUUCCCCGGUGGCCCUCCGUGUGGCAGCACAGCCCUUGACAGCCUCCUGCUCUUGAGGUUGCCCCUGCAGGAAACGCCACUGAUUGCACCGACCCUGGCGCCUCUCCUCAGCCUGAAUUCCGAGGCCCCUGAUGGUCUGAGAGCGCCCUGGCCGGGCAUGGUCCUGGCUCCGUGCAGCGUCCGCCUGCAUUUCAGACGCUGAUAUGCCUCCCUGCUCCACCCAGAGGCUGGCCAGCCGCUGCCCCGUUCGCAGCCAGGUUCCUGGCUCAGGGACUGCGUUGCCCAGAGCUCAGGCCAGUGCUCAGCAUGGGGAUUCCUUUGCCCGGGAUUUUUCUCAGAUGACCCUUCAAGACCCAUAAGCUCUUCUCCAUCCUGAGAUUUUUCCAUGUCCUCACAUAUCCUAGGUCUUGGGCCAGCAGUGGCUGUUUUCCACCCGAGAUGGCAUUUGCUUGGGAAAGCAGGCCGAGUGUAAAGGCAGAUGGCAUGAGUGGAAAUGCCCUGGACCUUUGACAGACUCCACCCUCCUCAGACUCCAUGGCCUGUCCUCUCUGCUCUCGGCCUCCCGUCUUGGCUGACAGAGUGAAUGUUGUCACUCUUACUGGCAUCCCUGUGGGAGAAGAGGGGCAGCUGGGUGACGGUCCCAAACCACCUCCCUUAUGGAACUGAGAAACUGGGGCCCAGAGGAAGCUAAUGAGCAAAAUCCAAGAUUCCGACCCCUUUCCUCUCCCUCCCAAACCCCCACCAGACUGUCAUCUUUAUUGUGUGUCUUCCUAAAUCCAUCCGUUGGAAAGGAAAGUUAGUCGCCAGGAAGGGCCUUCUCCCAGAUCAUCUAAUUUGUUAAAGCUUGCUUGGCUUCUCAGUCCCUGCAUCCUUCCUGAGUCCCCAGAGCUUUGCUUAGUUACCGUAACUAAGACUCUGCCAUUGAAGGUUCCUGCCCUCCCUGUCCUCCUCCUCUCUGUCUCCUUGGUGAUCUGGAGGAGGUGGAUGUGGCUUUUUUAAUGCCAGAAGGCAUAACUCCUGGUCAUCUCCACAUGCCACAUUGCUGCCAUUGCUCACCCUCAUCCUGAUUUGCCUGCAGGCCAGGGGCAGGCUGGGGCAGGCUGGGGUGUCCAGGGCUGCUUUAAGUACAUGUCCACCAGCUGUGUGUUGCAGGGGCCAGAUGCCAUGCCGCAGCUCCUCUCCUUAUUGACAUCCUGGCUGACGCCUGGGAAAAUUCCACGGUCUGGCCGUGCUGAGUCAUUGCUGAGUCAUGCUUUGUCUCUGAGGAUGUGAGCGUCACCUCCUGCAAUGCCUGUCACUGGUCAGCCCAGGAUCUGGCUGCAGUUACUAUAUACUGAGAUCCGUGUUGCUAAUCUUUUCGAUUUGCCCAUCACUGUAUGCUUCUCCGAGUGCUUUUUCUAACGUGCUGUUUUAUCAAUACAAAAUUUAUUAAUCUUAAAUCAUUCAUAAUAAGUAGAUUCUUUAUCCUGGAAAACAUUCCUCUCAUAAAUGAGGAAACUGAGGUUUGGAGAGACUAAGUGACUUGGUUAGUUUUGGGUGAUUGGUGAGUGGCAUGUUGGGGUGAGUUUUUUAUCCCUUACCCUGGAUUUCCGUGUAAUGCAAAGAUUUUUCAGAAGUAACUUUGGUUGAAAAAUUGAGUUUCAGUUUGUUUAAGUCACAGACUCAAAAAUCUCAUUCUUCCUUUAAGGGCCAGUCUUUUACAUCUAACUUUGAAGUGUAGCCUACAAAUCUUUCUGUUCUAUUUGUGAUUCUAGAAAAUGUUCACAAUCAUUUUAAGGGGCCUUUGGUUAACACUUGAUCCAUUUGCAAUCUUAACUCAUAUGAAGAUUUUAAAUUGAGUUUAUGAAUUAUAUUCAGUGUCCUUUAGUUACUGCAGUUUUCUGAUUAACAAAAUCUUCCAUAGUCCUGUAAAUCUAAUAAACUGACUCUUAAAUUUUCUUAUACAUUCCUAUACUGUCUUGUCUUAUUCUUUUUACACAGCUUGAUUGAGGUAUUUUUAACAUAAAAUUGCACAUUUGAAGUGUAUGAUUUAUAUUUUGACAUAUGCAUGCUCUUGUGAAAUCAUGAGCACAGUUAAGAUAGUGAUUGUCCAAAAGUGUCCCUUGGUUAUCCCUCCCAGUCACUCCUCUCUGCUUCCGCCAUCUCCAAGUAGUCACUAAUUGCUUUCUGUUGUUAUAAAUUAGUUGGCACUUUUUGGAA